rnacentral:rRNA from 1 species
AUUGAACGCUGGCGGCAGGCCUAACACAUGCAAGUCGAGCGAGCGGCGGACGGGUGAGUAAUGUAUGGGGAUCUGCCUGGUGGAGGGGGAUAACUACCGGAAACGGUAGCUACUCCCGCCUACCAUCAGCUGAGCCCAUGUGGGAUUAGCUAGUGGGUGAGGUAAAGGCUUACCAAGGCGACGAUCCCUACCUGGUCUGAGAGGAUGAUCAGCCACACUGGGACUGAGACACGGUCCAGACUCCUACGGGAGGCAGCAGUGGGGAAUAUUGCACAAUGGGCGCAAGCCUGAUGCAGCCAUGCCGCGUGUAUGAAGAAGGCCUUCGGGUUGUAAAGUACUUUCAGUGGGGAGGCGUUACCGGCAGAAGAAGCACCGGCUAACUCCGUGCCAGCAGCCGCGGUAAUAC